rnacentral:rRNA from 1 species
CAGUAGCCACGGUAACACGAAGGUCCCGAGCGUUGUUCGGAAUCACUGGGCGUAAGGGGAGCGUAGGCGGCGUGGUAAGUCAGAUGUGAAAUCCCGGGGCUCAACCCCGGAACUGCAUCCGAUACUGCCGUGCUAGAGGAUUGGAGAGGUAGCUGGAAUUCUUGGUGUAGCAGUGAAAUGCGUGGAGAUCAAGAGGAACACUCGUGGCGAAAGCGAGCUACUGGACAAUAUCUGACGCUGAGGCACGAAAGCGUGGGGAGCAAACAGGAUUAGAUACCCCCGUAGUCCCUGUCUCUUAUAC